rnacentral:rRNA from 1 species
AGAACUUUAGAUGUGGAUAUUUUGUUGUAUGGAGAAGAAAUGAUAGAUUUACCAAAACUGUCGGUGCCACAUCCGAGAAUGAAUGAACGUGCAUUUGUUUUAAUCCCAUUAAAUGAUAUAGCAGCAAAUGUCAUAGAACCACGUUCGAAAUUGAAAGUGAAAGAUUUAGUUUUUGUCGAUGACAGUGUAAAGAGAUAUAAAUAAUGUAUUGUUGAGAACAUUCAUAUUUAUUGGGAAUAGAUGAUUGAUUAUUGGAGAUGUUUCCGCAUUUUGAUUAUCUCUAAAUGCAUUUGAUUUCGAAUUAGUAUAUGAUGAUUCAGUAUGUGUUAGAAUUAAGUUAUUUCAUAAAAUCAAAGUAAGCAAUAUUUGAUAAAUUGCUGUAAUGUAUUUGGGCUUUUGUUGAAGUUUGUGGAAGAUAAUUUUUAUACAUUUACUUAGGGUUGUAUUAAUGAUAAUCGUAUUUUAAAUGAAUAAGUAAUUCAUAAACGAAAACAGAAAUUGCUUUAUUACAUUUACAACCUCUUGUAAAAUUAAAAAAGUGAUAAAAUUGAUGUUAUGAAUAUAAGAAAACAUGCCACAUCAUAACUUUAAGGUGUAAUGGUUAAUGAUAAAGUAUUAGAAACAUCGAAAGAGAUGUAUGUUGAGCAAAAAUGUCUGAUAUUUUAUAAAACUUUAAAGGAAAAUGUUUGAGUGUACCAGUUGGAAUACUAAAGGAUUACAACAAGUUAAAGGAGAGAAAGUUAUGUCAGAAGAAAUGAAUGACCAAAUGUUGGUUCGACGUCAAAAAUUACAAGAAUUAUAUGAUCUUGGUAUAGACCCGUUUGGUUCUAAAUUUGACCGUUCAGGUUUAUCUAGUGAUUUGAAAGAAGAGUGGGACCAGUAUUCUAAAGAAGAAUUGGUAGAAAAAGAAGCGGAUAGUCAUGUCGCUAUAGCUGGACGAUUAAUGACUAAGCGUGGUAAAGGUAAAGCAGGAUUUGCACACGUUCAGGACUUAGCUGGACAAAUUCAAAUUUACGUUCGUAAAGAUCAAGUUGGCGAUGACGAAUUUGAUUUAUGGAAAAAUGCUGAUUUAGGCGAUAUCGUUGGUGUUGAAGGUGUAAUGUUCAAAACAAAUACUGGCGAAUUAUCGGUUAAAGCGAAGAAAUUCACGCUACUAACUAAAUCAUUGCGACCAUUACCAGAUAAAUUCCACGGUUUACAGGAUAUUGAACAGAGAUAUCGUCAAAGAUAUUUAGAUUUAAUUACGAACGAAGAUAGCACUCGUACAUUUAUUAAUCGUAGUAAAAUCAUUCAAGAAAUGCGUAAUUAUUUAAAUAAUAAAGGUUUCUUGGAAGUAGAAACACCUAUGAUGCACCAAAUUGCUGGUGGCGCAGCUGCUAGACCAUUUGUAACACAUCAUAAUGCAUUAGAUGCAACGUUAUACAUGCGUAUUGCUAUUGAGUUGCAUUUAAAACGUUUAAUUGUCGGUGGACUUGAAAAAGUAUAUGAAAUUGGUAGAGUAUUCCGUAAUGAAGGUGUAUCAACUAGACAUAACCCUGAAUUCACAAUGAUUGAAUUAUAUGAAGCAUAUGCAGAUUAUCAUGACAUUAUGGAUUUAACAGAAUCUAUGGUGAGACAUAUUACCAAUGAAGUAUUAGGUUCUGCAAAAGUACAAUACAAUGGGGAAACGAUUGAUUUAGAAUCUGCUUGGACUCGUUUGCAUAUUGUUGAUGCUGUAAAAGAAGCUACUGGUGUAGAUUUUUAUGAAGUUAAAAGUGAUGAAGAAGCUAAAGCUUUAGCUAAAGAACAUGGUAUUGAAAUUAAAGAUACAAUGAAAUAUGGUCAUAUUUUAAAUGAAUUCUUUGAGCAAAAAGUUGAAGAAACACUUAUUCAGCCAACGUUUAUCUAUGGUCAUCCGACUGAAAUUUCACCUUUAGCGAAGAAAAAUCCUGAAGAUCCUAGAUUUACUGAUCGUUUCGAAUUGUUCAUUGUAGGUAGAGAGCAUGCAAAUGCAUUUACUGAAUUAAAUGAUCCUAUUGAUCAAAAAGGUCGUUUUGAAGCGCAACUUGUUGAAAAAGCGCAAGGUAAUGAUGAAGCGCAUGAAAUGGAUGAAGAUUACAUUGAAGCGUUAGAAUAUGGUAUGCCUCCGACAGGUGGUCUUGGUAUCGGUAUUGAUAGAUUGGUUAUGUUAUUAACUGACUCUCCAUCAAUCAGAGACGUGUUAUUAUUCCCUUAUAUGAGACAAAAAUAAAUGACGUUGAUUGUUAGUAAGAGCUCUCGUGUAUACAACAUGUGUAUGCGAGGGUUUUCUUAAUUAUGGUAAUUAGUUCGUGUUUGAAUGUUUUUGAUAGUAAUAGUUAACGAUAAUGGUGCUAUUUUUGACUGUUAAACAAGGUAGUUGGCUGAUAGAUGAAAAUGACGAUACGUAUAUAGAGUAGUUCGGAUGAGAAAUGUUAACGAUAGACAUUGAGAUAUCUUAUAACAAAAAUUGCUAUAUUAGUAUAAUUUAUCUUAAUCAGCUAUAAAAGUACUUUAAAAUUGUAUAGAAUGUGUAUGGUUUUGUACAUAUGUGUAUGAUAGAAUACUAAAAGUGUUAUGAAUUAGAGAGCACGAGAAAUGUCAGUUUUGAAGAAUAAAAAAGUUGAUUAAAAGUGUUGACUUUAUCAAUUGAAUGAAGUAAUAUAUAAAAGUCGUCAAAAACAGACGAAACACACUAAAAGCUGAUGUGACAAAGUUCACAACAAAGUGUAAAAUUAACUAUUGCACCUUAUUAAUUAAGCGUGUAUCAUAAAUUAGUAAGUUAUUUUGUCUGGUGACUAUAGCAAGGAGGUCACACCUGUUCCCAUGCCGAACACAGAAGUUAAGCUCCUUAGCGUCGAUGGUAGUCGAACUUACGUUCCGCUAGAGUAGAACGUUGCCAGGCAGUUUUAAAUCGGAGAAUUAGCUCAGCUGGGAGAGCAUCUGCCUUACAAGCAGAGGGUCGGCGGUUCGAACCCGUCAUUCUCCACCAUUUAUUCUUACAUAUUGCCGGCCUAGCUCAAUUGGUAGAGCAACUGACUUGUAAUCAGUAGGUUGGGGGUUCAAGUCCUCUGGCCGGCACCAUGGAAGAGCCAUUAGCUCAGUUGGUAGAGCAUCUGACUUUUAAUCAGAGGGUCAGAGGUUCGAAUCCUCUAUGGCUCACCAUUUGCGGGUGUGGCGGAAUUGGCAGACGCACUAGACUUAGGAUCUAGCGCCUUACGGCGUGGGGGUUCGACUCCCUUCACCCGCAUAUGCAGAAGUAGUUCAGCGGUAGAAUACAACCUUGCCAAGGUUGGGGUCGCGGGUUCGAAUCCCGUCUUCUGCUCCAUUUUUAUAGUGCCGGGGUGGCGGAACUGGCAGACGCACAGGACUUAAAAUCCUGCGGUGAGUGAUCACCGUACCGGUUCGAUUCCGGUCCUCGGCACCAUUUUCAAUAAAAACAUAUGCGCCCGUAGCUCAAUUGGAUAGAGCGUUUGACUACGGAUCAAGAGGUUAUGGGUUCGACUCCUAUCGGGCGCGUUAAUUAUACGGGAAGUAGCUCAGCUUGGUAGAGCACUUGGUUUGGGACCAAGGGGUCGCAGGUUCGAAUCCUGUCUUCCCGAUAUACUGUAAUUAUUAUGGGGGCUUAGCUCAGCUGGGAGAGCGCCUGCUUUGCACGCAGGAGGUCNGUCCUUUGGACAAUGGUAGGAGAGCGUUCUAAGGGCGUUGAAGCAUGAUCGUAAGGACAUGUGGAGCGCUUAGAAGUGAGAAUGCCGGUGUGAGUAGCGAAAGACGGGUGAGAAUCCCGUCCACCGAUUGACUAAGGUUUCCAGAGGAAGGCUCGUCCGCUCUGGGUUAGUCGGGUCCUAAGCUGAGGCCGACAGGCGUAGGCGAUGGAUAACAGGUUGAUAUUCCUGUACCACCUAUAAUCGUUUUAAUCGAUGGGGGGACGCAGUAGGAUAGGCGAAGCGUGCGAUUGGAUUGCACGUCUAAGCAGUAAGGCUGAGUAUUAGGCAAAUCCGGUACUCGUUAAGGCUGAGCUGUGAUGGGGAGAAGACAUUGUGUCUUCGAGUCGUUGAUUUCACACUGCCGAGAAAAGCCUCUAGAUAGAAAAUAGGUGCCCGUACCGCAAACCGACACAGGUAGUCAAGAUGAGAAUUCUAAGGUGAGCGAGCGAACUCUCGUUAAGGAACUCGGCAAAAUGACCCCGUAACUUCGGGAGAAGGGGUGCUCUUUAGGGUUAACGCCCAGAAGAGCCGCAGUGAAUAGGCCCAAGCGACUGUUUAUCAAAAACACAGGUCUCUGCUAAACCGUAAGGUGAUGUAUAGGGGCUGACGCCUGCCCGGUGCUGGAAGGUUAAGAGGAGUGGUUAGCUUCUGCGAAGCUACGAAUCGAAGCCCCAGUAAACGGCGGCCGUAACUAUAACGGUCCUAAGGUAGCGAAAUUCCUUGUCGGGUAAGUUCCGACCCGCACGAAAGGCGUAACGAUUUGGGCACUGUCUCAACGAGAGACUCGGUGAAAUCAUAGUACCUGUGAAGAUGCAGGUUACCCGCGACAGGACGGAAAGACCCCGUGGAGCUUUACUGUAGCCUGAUAUUGAAAUUCGGCACAGCUUGUACAGGAUAGGUAGGAGCCUUUGAAACGUGAGCGCUAGCUUACGUGGAGGCGCUGGUGGGAUACUACCCUAGCUGUGUUGGCUUUCUAACCCGCACCACUUAUCGUGGUGGGAGACAGUGUCAGGCGGGCAGUUUGACUGGGGCGGUCGCCUCCUAAAAGGUAACGGAGGCGCUCAAAGGUUCCCUCAGAAUGGUUGGAAAUCAUUCAUAGAGUGUAAAGGCAUAAGGGAGCUUGACUGCGAGACCUACAAGUCGAGCAGGGUCGAAAGACGGACUUAGUGAUCCGGUGGUUCCGCAUGGAAGGGCCAUCGCUCAACGGAUAAAAGCUACCCCGGGGAUAACAGGCUUAUCUCCCCCAAGAGUUCACAUCGACGGGGAGGUUUGGCACCUCGAUGUCGGCUCAUCGCAUCCUGGGGCUGUAGUCGGUCCCAAGGGUUGGGCUGUUCGCCCAUUAAAGCGGUACGCGAGCUGGGUUCAGAACGUCGUGAGACAGUUCGGUCCCUAUCCGUCGUGGGCGUAGGAAAUUUGAGAGGAGCUGUCCUUAGUACGAGAGGACCGGGAUGGACAUACCUCUGGUGUACCAGUUGUCGUGCCAACGGCAUAGCUGGGUAGCUAUGUGUGGACGGGAUAAGUGCUGAAAGCAUCUAAGCAUGAAGCCCCCCUCAAGAUGAGAUUUCCCAACUUCGGUUAUAAGAUCCCUCAAAGAUGAUGAGGUUAAUAGGUUCGAGGUGGAAGCAUGGUGACAUGUGGAGCUGACGAAUACUAAUCGAUCGAAGACUUAAUCAA